AUGAUUGCUCUGUUAAUUUUAGUUAAGUGUUCAAACUAUGAGGAGGGGAGCCGCCAUGUCGGCGCCGCCAGGAGAACUCGGGCCGGACCCGGCGCCCGGAACUUCUGCACCGCGGGCCGCGGCCUGGAGCCGUUCCUGAUGCGCGAGGUGCGGGCGCGGCUGGCGGCCACGCAGGUUGAAUAUACUUCAGGAAAGGUAUUUUUUUACCACCUGUUCUGAUGUGAAUAUGCUGAAGAAAUUAAAAUCUGCAGAAAGGUUAUUUUUGCUUAUUAAAAAGGAGUUCCCACUUGCUAUUUCUUCUGUAAGAAAAGGAAAAAUAUUUAAUGAAAUGCAAAGACUUAUAAAUGAUCCAGGAAGUUGGUUGAAUGCCAUUUCACUUUGGAAAAAGCUUCUUGAACUUGAUGCAAAAAAGGAAAAACUUUCUCAAAAAGAUGCUAACCUACUAAAAAGAAAAGUAGGAGAAAAUGAAAUCAUCAUUGCUAAGAAAUUAAAAAUAGAACAGCUGCAAAAGAUAGAGGAGAAUAGGGAAUGCCAGAUGGAAAAACAAAUAGAAGAAGAAACUCUGGAGCAAAGAGAUUUUAUCACCAAAGGAGAAAAAUUUCAAGAAGAGGAAUUUCAGAAUGAUAUAGAGAAAGCAACUAUUACUCAUAACCAGAGUAGCUUGACUUUCAGAGUUUCUUGUCGCUGCAGUGGAACUGUUGGAAAGGCGUUUUCUGCACAGGAGGUAGGAAAAGUAAUUGGAAUUGCUCUUAUGAAACAGUUUGGAUGGAAAGCAGAUUUGAGGAAUCCAAAUUUAGAGAUCUUUGUACAUCUAAAUGACAUUUACUCUGUGGUGGGGAUUCCUGUGUUCAGAGUUCCUUUAGCCAGCAGAACUUACAUCAAGACGGCUGGGCUGAGAUCUACCAUAGCAUGGGCAAUGGCAUCUCUCGCUGAAAUUAAGGCUGGUGCAUUUGUUUUAGAUCCAAUGUGUGGACUUGGAACAAUACUUUUAGAAGCUGCUAAGGAAUGGCCAAAUUGCCAUUGCCUUCAGAAAGUGUUGAUAUUAUUAUUUCUGACAUUCCAUUUGGGAAAAAGUUUAAGUUAGGAAAGGACAUCAAAAGCAUUCUACAAGAAAUGGAAAGAGUGCUUCGUGUUGGCGGAACCAUUGUAUUGUUGCUUAGCGAAGAUCACCACAGGCGCCUUAAAGAUUGCGAAGAAAGCAGCAUCCCUUUAAAUUCCAAGAACAGUUACACAGAUGAACCUGGAAUUAAAAGGUGCUUGAAUCUGGAAGAAACAACUGGCUUAUCAGAGACAGAAUUGUCUUCAUUUGAAGCCAGUAACCAGGAGUGCCUAGAAAAAAUGUCACCAUUUGGC